CUGCCCUUUUCAGACACUGAAUUUGAGCAGAAACCAUAAGGAUACUCAAAGGACCUGUGACUCUCAGGAAAUGCAUCAAAUGAGAGGGACAGAUGAAACAGUUUCAAGACAAUGGCAGGAAAAACAUGCUGAAGAUUGAAACAAACCUUGGCUGGAAAUAUUUGAAGGUAUCUAGCCAGUCCACAAUGAAAGCUUCGUUGCACCCCAUGAGUCUUCUGGCAGAAAUGAUGGCGCCUGUAUUCUUUGGUUUCCCUAAACAUCACACCCUGCCUGUUUAUACGAGGCUCUUCAAUUAAGUCUGCACCCAAAGAUUCAAUAAGAGGUAAGCAGUGGUAUUAUUCAAGUUUUGCUAAAGAAAGAUGGACAGGAGACACUAAUCUUAAUCAGCCGAGCUCAGGUUCAUGUCCAGGUGAGCAGUUUCAUACGCUAUAAAAUGUAGAUUGAAUGAUAGGUCUCAUCACCAUGCAUUCAGCCAUUAACUU